GUGAGCCAGUACAGGAUGGACCCGCGUCUGAUUAGCUAGUUGGUAAGGUAACGGCUUACCAAGGCGACGAUCAGUAGCCGACCUGCGAGGGUGAUCGGCCACAUUGGAACUGAGACACGGUCCAAACCCCUACGGGAGGCAGCAGUGGGGAAUAUUGCACAAUGGGCGAAAGCCUGAUGCAGCAACGCCGCGUGAGUGAUGAAGGCCUUCGGGUCGGAAAACUCUGUCCUCAAGGAAGAUAAUGACGGUACUUGAGGAGGAAGCCCCGGCUAACUACGUGCCAGCAGCCGCGGUAAUACGUAGGGGGCUAGCGUUAUCCGGAUUUACUGGGCGUAAAGGGUGCGUAGGCGGUCUUUCAAGUCAGGAGUGAAAGGCUACGGCUCAACCGUAGUAAGCUCUUGAAACUGGGAGACUUGAGUGCAGGAGAGGAGAGUGGAAUUCCUAGUGUAGCGGUGAAAUGCGUAGAUAUUAGGAGGAACACCAGUUGCGAAGGCGGCUCUCUGGACUGU
rnacentral:rRNA from 1 species